rnacentral:rRNA from 1 species
AACGAACGCUGGCGGCAGGCUUAACACAUGCAAGUCGAACGGGUGUAGCAAUACAUCAGUGGCAGACGGGUGAGUAACACGUGGGAACCUUCCUAGGGGUACGGAACAACUCAGGGAAACUUGAGCUAAUACCGUAUACGUCCGUGAGGAGAAAGAUUUAUCGCCCUUAGACGGGCCCGCGUCGGAUUAGCUAGUUGGUGGGGUAACGGCCUACCAAGGCGACGAUCCGUAGCUGAUCUUAGAGGGUGAUCAGCCACACUGGGACUGAGACACGACCCAAACGCCUACGGGAGGCAGCAGUGGGGAAUCUUGGACAAUGGGCGCAAGCCUGAUCCAGCCAUGCCGCGUGAGUGAAGAAGGUCUUCGGAUUGUAAAGCUCUUUUGCCAGGGACGAUAAUGACGGUACCUGGAGAAUAAGCCCCGGCAAACUUCGUGCCAGCAGCCGCGGUAA